rfam:Ruminococcus sp. CAG:9 genomic scaffold, scf303
GAUAAUAACAACGGGAGCCUGUGAGACAGGCUGAGAGGAAGAUUGAUCUUCGACCGCACCUGAUAUGGAUAAUGCCAGCGUAGGGACUGUAUUUGUAUAUUAAA